CCUACGGGGGGCUGCAGUGGGGAAUAUUGCACAAUGGGCGGAAGCCUGAUGCAGCGACGCCGCGUGCGGGAUGACGGCCUUCGGGUUGUAAACCGCUUUCAGCUCUGACGAAGCUUUUGUGACGGUAGGAGCAGAAGAAGCACCGGCUAACUACGUGCCAGCAGCCGCGGUAAUACGUAGGGUGCGAGCGUUGUCCGGAAUUAUUGGGCGUAAAGAGCUUGUAGGCGGCUUGUCGCGUCUGCUGUGAAAGCCCGGGGCUUAACCCCGGGUCUGCA
rnacentral:rRNA from 1 species